rnacentral:lncRNA from 1 species
UAUUCAGAUGCAGACCUAUUUUUAUCAACUUGAGUCACCAGAUCAUAAAUCUAGUCAAACAAUUACCAUUGAAAAACCAGAUAUACGCUUUACCGUAAGUGUAUAAAAACAAAACUCCUUCUAUUUUAACGACAUCCUCAGUCAUAUUUUUCUGGUUCCUUGUGACAUUGUGCAGUAUUCGAACGGCGGCAUGAAAGAUGCAACUUUUACAUUAAUUUUAUUGUGUUUAGUGCUAAUUAUUAAGCAUUUUAAUGAGGUCGCAUGUACACAACUGGAAGAAACUGGUAGCUUGAAGCAAGAAAAUCACACAGUAGUUCAAAUUACAUCAACUACUCAUGGUUCCUUUAAAGUUUCGUCGCUGACAGAUACGCAAAUUAAUAGCUGCCCAGAACCAAAUCAACUACGGGACAUCAAUGGAAACUGUCGAGAUGUUGCUAACUAGUUGCAUGGGUUCGCAUAUGAGAAUGGUGUGUAAAACUACAGGAAUAUUAUCAAAGCAGAAUAGAAUAAAACGACGUUUCUUCGCAUCGAAUCGCCUGCUCUUAAAGCGGCGUUAAUUUAACCAAUUGCAGCCCUAAUUCUAUUCCAAGUCCUGCGUAAGCACGCAGUUCACUUUAGGAAAACAUUUAAAAUAAAGACAAAGCAGACCUA